UACGAAGGGGGUGAGCGUUGUUCGGAAUUACUGGGCGUAAAGGGCGCGUAGGCGGUCCUUCAAGUCAGGCGUGAAAGCCCCGGGCUCAACCUGGGAACCGCGCUUGAUACUGGAGAGCUUGAGUCCGGAAGAGGUGAGUGGAACUCCGAGUGUAGAGGUGAAAUUCGUAGAUAUUCGGAAGAACACCAGUGGCGAAGGCGGCUCACUGGUCCGGUACUGACGCUGAGGUGCGAAAGCGUGGGGAGCAAACAGG
rnacentral:rRNA from 1 species